rnacentral:rRNA from 1 species
UACGUAGGGGGCUAGCGUUGUCCGGAAUCAUUGGGCGUAAAGCGCGUGUAGGCGGUCCGGUAAGUCCGCUGUGAAAGUCGGGGGCUCAACCCUCGAACGCCGGUGGAUACUGUCGGGCUAGAGUGCGGAAGAGGCGAGUGGAAUUCCUGGUGUAGCGGUGAAAUGCGCAGAUAUCAGGAGGAACACCAAUUGCGAAGGCAGCUCGCUGGGACGUUACUGACGCUGAGACGCGAAAGCGUGGGGAGCAAACAGG